rnacentral:rRNA from 1 species
CCAGACUCCUACGGGAGGCAGCAGUGGGGAAUAUUGCACAAUGGGGGAAACCCUGAUGCAGCAACGCCGCGUGAGUGAGGAAGUAUUUCGGUAUGUAAAGCUCUAUCAGCAGGGAAUAGAAAAGAAGGUACCUGAAAAAGAAGCCCCGGCUAACUACGUGCCAGCAGCCGCGGUAAUACGUAGGGGGCAAGCGUUAUCCGGAUUUACUGGGUGUAAAGGGAGCGUAGACGGAAAGGCAAGUCAGAGGUGAAAGCCCAAGGCUCAACCAUGGGACUGCUUUUGAAACUGUGGGUCUUGAGUGAUGGAGAGGCAGGCGGAAUUCCCAGUGUAGCGGUGAAAUGCGUAGAUAUUGGGAGGAACACCAGUGGCGAAGGCGGCCUGCUGGACAUUAACUGACGCUGAGGCGCGAAAGCGUGGGGAGCAAACAGGAUUAGAUACCCUUGUAAG